rnacentral:rRNA from 1 species
AAAUUGAAGAGUUUGAUCAUGGCUCAGAUUGAACGCUGGCGGCAGGCCUAACACAUGCAAGUCGAACGGUAACAGGAAGCAGCUUGCUGCUUCGCUGACGAGUGGCGGACGGGUGAGUAAUGUCUGGGAAACUGCCUGAUGGAGGGGGAUAACUACUGGAAACGGUGGCUAAUACCGCAUAACGUCGCAAGACCAAAGAGGGGAACCUUCGGGCCUCUUGCCAUCAGAUGUGCCCAGAUGGGAUUAGCUAGUUGGUGAGGUAACGGCUCACCAAGGCGACGAUCCCUAGCUGGUCUGAGAGGAUGACCAGCCACACUGGAACUGAGACACGGUCCAGACUCCUACGGGAGGCAGCAGUGGGGAAUAUUGCACAAUGGGCGCAAGCCUGAUGCAGCCAUGCCGCGUGUAUGAAGAAGGCCUUCGGGUUGUAAAGUACUUUCAGCGGGGAGGAAGGUGUUGUGGUUAAUAACC